UCAGAUCAGACCCAGAGAGAGAGAGAGAGAGAGACACAGAGAGAGAGAGACAGAGAGGGAGGAGUGUGUGUGUGUGUGAGUGUGUGUGUGUGUGUGUGUGUGAAAGAGGGAGAGGGAGCGAGAGAGAGAGAGAGAGAGAGAGAGAGAGAGAGAGAGAGAGAGAGGGAGGGAGAGAGAGAGAGAGGGAGAGAGAGGGAGGGAGAGAGAAAAGAAGAGGGGGAAAAAAAGGAAAGAAGAUUUUCUCUAUGUAUAUAAAGAUGGCCACGUUAGCAAACGGACAACCAGACAAUACCAGCCUGAGUAGCAAUCACAGCAACCCCAGCACCAACGGGCAUAUGAACGGAUUAAACCAUAGUCCCGGAAACCCAUCCACCAUCCCAAUGAAGGACCACGAUGCCAUUAAGCUCUUUAUUGGGCAGAUCCCCCGUAACCUGGACGAGAAAGACCUCAAACCGCUCUUCGAGGAGUUCGGGAAGAUCUACGAACUGACGGUGCUGAAGGACAGGUUCACUGGCAUGCACAAAGGCUGUGCCUUCUUAACAUACUGCGAAAGGGAGUCUGCUCUAAAGGCCCAGAGUGCACUGCAUGAACAGAAGACACUGCCGGGGAUGAACAGACCGAUCCAGGUGAAGCCAGCGGACAGCGAAAGCCGAGGAGAAGACAGAAAACUCUUUGUGGGCAUGCUCAAUAAGCAGCAGUCGGAAGAUGAUGUGCGCAGGCUAUUCGAGGCGUUUGGCAACAUUGAGGAGUGCACAAUCCUUCGGGGACCCGAUGGCAACAGCAAAGGGUGUGCAUUUGUGAAAUACUCUUCACAUGCAGAGGCCCAAGCUGCCAUCAAUGCCUUGCAUGGCAGCCAGACAAUGCCGGGAGCCUCUUCAAGCCUGGUGGUGAAGUUUGCAGACACGGACAAGGAGCGUACAAUGAGGCGCAUGCAGCAAAUGGCAGGACAAAUGGGCAUGUUCAAUCCCAUGGCCAUCCAGUUUGGAGCUUAUGGCGCCUAUGCACAGGCACUGAUGCAGCAGCAAGCGGCGAUAAUGGCGUCAGUGGCGCAGGGCGGAUACCUGAACCCCAUGGCAGCCUUUGCCGCCGCCCAGAUGCAGCAGAUGGCGGCUCUGAACAUGAAUGGCCUGGCAGCCGCCCCCAUGACUCCAACCUCAGGUGGAAGCACGCCUCCUGGCAUAACUGCACCAGCUGUGCCUAGCAUCCCAUCUCCAAUUGGGGUGAAUGGUUUCACGGGCCUCCCGCCGCAGGCUAAUGGGCAGCCAGCCGCUGAAGCUGUGUUUGCUAAUGGCAUUCAUCCUUAUCCAGGUGUAUGGCACCAGAUUUCCUUCCAAGAGGCCCCCACCUUUGCAUCCUCCAAGCCUUGCCUCCAGCCACACCUCUGUGCGGCACAGAGCCCCACUGCAGCAGACCCCUUGCAGCAAGCCUACGCUGGAGUGCAGCAGUACGCAGGUCCUGCUUAUCCUGCUGCUUAUGGCCAGAUUAGCCAAGCGUUCCCACAGCCACCUCCCAUGAUCCCACAGCAACAGAGAGAAGGACCAGAGGGCUGUAACCUGUUUAUCUACCAUCUGCCCCAGGAGUUUGGGGAUGCUGAGCUGAUGCAGAUGUUCCUGCCUUUCGGUAAUGUCAUCUCCUCGAAAGUGUUUGUGGAUCGGGCGACAAACCAAAGUAAAUGCUUUGGUUUUGUGAGUUUUGACAAUCCUGCCAGUGCCCAAGCUGCUAUCCAGGCCAUGAAUGGAUUCCAGAUUGGCAUGAAGAGGCUGAAGGUGCAGCUGAAGAGGCCAAAGGAUGCUAAUCGUCCCUACUGAAGGGUUGUGGGAACCACUGGAUACAAAGCACUAGCACAGAGCCAGUCAAAUCCACCACAGUCUCGCGCUGAGCUAGGAAAAAAGUUCUCGUAAUGACAUGAAAGUGGAGAAUACAGUUCCCCAGGCCGGCAGCAGCUGAAUGGGCCACAUUUAGAAAAAAAUAUAUAUAUAUAAUUUUAAAAAGUGAACUGUUGGAUUACACCUUUGACAUAUCAGCAAAUAUCAGUCAAGCUGAAGACUUCAGACCUAUUCUCUCUUUGAUUGUUUAGACUGUAACAUUUCUUCAAGAAAAGUAUCACAUCUGCUGACUUCGAAGGAUAUGCGCUUGAAAACAAACAAACACAUAAAGUAAAAUCAGAGCAGGAGGAAGAUGAACCGGGAUUUCUGAAGAGACACUGAUAUCACCACAGCGGCUUUUCUUCAAACAGGAGAUGCAAACCUGGAUUCUGGCAAAGGAGUGCCUGUUUGCCACCAAGGAUGCGGUUACCAUGCGAGGCCCAUGGUAACAGUCUCUGAGCAUCUUUAUCUGUCAUUCCUUAGCUAUAUAGGGACCAAAGGACAAAACUUUUUACCGCAGACUUGUAGCUGUAUGUAAAAUAUGGAAGUUCUUUCCUUUUCUCUGAGCUGUUCCUAAAACAGUUUUUG